GACGAACCGUGCGAACGUUGUUCGGAAUUACUGGGCGUAAAGGGCUCGUAGGCGGCCAACUAAGUCAUACGUGAAAUCCCCCGGCUUAACCUGGGAACUGCGUCUGAUACUGGACGGCUUGAGUUUGGGAGAGGGAUGCAGAAUUCCAGGUGUAGCGGUGAAAUGCGUAGAUAUCUGGAGGAAUACCGGUGGCGAAGGCGGCAUCCUGGACCAACACUGACGCUGAGGCGCGAAAGCUAGGGGAGCAAACGGG
rnacentral:rRNA from 1 species